UACGUAGGGCGCAAGCGUUGUCCGGAAUUAUUGGGCGUAAAGAGCUCGUAGGCGGUUUGUCGCGUCUGCCGUGAAAACCCGAGGCUUAACCUCGGGCCUGCGGUGGAUACGGGCAGACUAGAGGUGAGGUAGGGGAGAAUGGAAUUCCCGGUGUAGCGGUGAAAUGCGCAGAUAUCGGGAGGAACACCGGUGGCGAAGGCGGUUCUCUGGGCCUUACCUGACGCUGAGGAGCGAAAGCGUGGGGGAGCGAACAGG
rnacentral:rRNA from 1 species